AUGUCUCUCCCAGCUCUGACAUUCUCUGUUCUAAGGUCUCUCCCAGUUCUGACAUUCUCUGUUCUAAGAUCUCUCCCAGCUCUGACAUUCUCUGUUCUAAGGUCUCUCCCAGCCCUGACACUCUCUGUUCUAAGGUCUCUCCCAGCUCUGACAUUCUCUCUUCUAAGGUCUCUCUCAGCCCUGACAGUCUCUGUUCUAAGGUCUCUCCCAGCUCUGACAUUCUCUGUUCUAAGAUCUCUCUCAGCUCUGACAUUCUCUGUUCUAAGGUCUCUCCCAGCCCUGACACUCUCUGUUCUAAGGUCUCUCCCAGCUCUGACAUUCUGGGUUCUAAAGUCUCUCCCAGCUCUGACAGUCUCUGUUCUAAGGUCUCUCCCGGCUCUGACAUCCUCUGUUCUAAGCUCUCUCCCAGCUCUGACAUUCUCUGUUCUAAGAUCUCUCUCAGCUCUGACAUUCUCUGUUCUAAGGUCUCUCCCGGCUCUGACAUUCUCUGUUCUAAGAUCUCUCUCGGCUCUGAUAUUCUCUGUUCUAAGGUCUCUCCCAGCCCUGACACUCUCUGUUCUAAGGUCUCUCCCAGCUCUGACAUUCUGUGUUCUAAGGUCUCUCCCAGCUCUGACAGUCUCUGUUCUAAGUCAUAUCCCAGCUCUGACAUUCUGGGUUCUAAGGUCUCUCCCAGAUCUGACAUGCUGGGUUCUAAGGUCUCUCCCAGCUCUGACAUUCUGUGUUCUAAGGUCUCUCCACAGUUCUGACAUUCUCGGUUUUAAGCUCUCUCCAAGUUCGGCCAUUCUGGGUUCUAGAGUCCUUCCAGUUCUGACAUUAUCUGUUCUAAGGUCUCUCCCAGCUCUGACAUCCUCUGUUCUAAGCUCCCUCCCAGCUCUGACCUUCUCUGUUCUAAGGGCUCUCCCAUCUCUGACAUUCUGUGUUCUCAGUCCCCUCCAAGCUCUGACAUCCUCUGUUCUAAGCUCCCUCCCAGCUCUGACCUUCUCUGUUCUAAGGGCUCUCCCAGCUCUGACCUUUUCUGUUCUAAAGUCCUUCUAG
rnacentral:lncRNA from 1 species